UUGCACGCUGGCGGCAGGCCUAACACAUGCCAGUCGAGCGGAUGAAGGGAGCUUGCUCCUGGAUUCAGCGGCGGACGGGUGAGUAAUGCCUAGGAAUCUGCCUGGUAGUGGGGGAUAACGUCCGGAAACGGGCGCUAAUACCGCAUACGUCCUGAGGGAGAAAGUGGGGGAUCUUCGGACCUCACGCUAUCAGAUGAGCCUAGGUCGGAUUAGCUAGUUGGUGGGGUAAAGGCCUACCAAGGCGACGAUCCGUAACUGGUCUGAGAGGAUGAUCAGUCACACUGGAACUGAGACACGGUCCAGACUCCUACGGGAGGCAGCAGUGGGGAAUAUUGGACAAUGGGCGAAAGCCUGAUCCAGCCAUGCCGCGUGUGUGAAGAAGGUCUUCGGAUUGUAAAGCACUUAAGUUGGGAGGAAGGGCAGUAAGUUAAUACCUUGCUGUUUUGACGUUACCAACAGAAUAAGCACCGGCUAACUUCGUG
rnacentral:rRNA from 1 species